CGGGGGCGCUGUGGGGAGGACACGCCGGUCCGCGCUCAGCAUCCGGGCCUGAGACCCAGCGCCCCCGGCUUCCGCGGCCUCCGCGCUCCCUCCGCGUUAACUCAUCGCCCUGUCGCGCCCGCUUCUCCAGCGGGUUCGGCGGUCGGGGGAGGACAGUGAUCGAGUUCGAAGUUCGGAGGGUCUCUGCGUCUCUGGGGUUUCUAUCACUGCUCCUUCCAGCCCUCAAGCGGCUACUCCGAAGAAUGACGAAGGGCCCUACUUGCGUAGAUUCGUGGGAUGAUUUUACCAAGAAGGAAAAGGGGGAAAAGAAAUCACAAUUAUUGAGGGUCCAGCCUUGGUCAGAUUCCGUGUCAGACCCUUCCAACUUGACAUUAUUGACUCUUCACAACUCUUCAUUUUGUAGUCCAGGAAGCAGGCUCCGAGAGACUGCCUAGAAAAAACAGCACCCGGAUCUGAAUUCGAGGCCGUCCCACACCCAUCCCGGUACGGUUCCCAGCAGAACUGAGCUGGAGUGGCCCUGAUGCAAAUGAACUUAGAUCCCAGCUGCUUGUGAUGGAAGCCAAUCCCAGCUUUCCCAAGCUUACAGGUUUUUUCCAGAAGAAGCCAACUUGAUCUCCCGGAACACGAAUUCAGCAGGCUCUCAUCUCAGAACUGCCUCCAAUCCAUCCCAUACCCCUUCACACUUCAGUCCUUGGUAUUUUCUCCGAUCACACCUUCCACUCCUCCUUCAUAUUUGCAAGUCUCUCCCUGCAGAAUCUGCCCCGAGGAGCAAAGGACAUUUUUCCAUGGGGAACAGAAUUUUAGAAUUUCCCUUUGUACCCAGUGAGAAAGACUAAAGUUUGGUAUAGGAAAUAACCCAAAGACAAAUCUAUACACUGCAUAGAACACAGGAAGCCUGGGCUCUGAAAACAUAAAAGACACCAAAUCAUUCCUGGAGCACUUGUGAAGUUUUGGAAAAUUCCUUUAACCUCUCUAAACCUCAGUCUCCUCAUUUGUAAAAUGAACAUAAUAAAUAUUUUUUCUUGCCUAUGUCAAUGGCUUCCUGAUUUCCAAAUGAAAAAAAAAGCAAUUGGAAUUCUUUGAAAAUAAGAAAGCAUUUAAAGCAUAAGGUAUGAAUGAGACUUCUUUUCUUACUUAGUUUGCUUUCUAAUCAGGAACCUCACUCCCUGAGUAACAAGUUGGUAAGAUCAAAUAAGACAAGUCUGGGAAAGGCCACAAAGGGAAAUAUGGGUGCUGGUUUAUUAAUUAUUGUUCAAGCAAUACCCUUUUCUAAAAUGAAGCUGCCAUUAUGUUCCCUUCAUCAGCCAUAUAAGAAAUCCAGUGCCUAACCUCCCUUGUGGCCAGUGAGGAACAAAGCUCUGGAAUUUUUACACAGAUUUCUAUUUCCCUGUGGAAGCACUGGAAAGGAAAUGUCAUUCUCACUUUGAAGAGGAAGAGGGAUGCAGCAAGCUUCCCAGGCAUGCAGAAAACUCUA
rnacentral:lncRNA from 1 species